GCCAUUCCUUGUCAGGUCUGGUUGCCCGUCGCCAUCCGUCGCCAUCCGUCGCCAUCCUUCGCCAUCCUUCGUUCAUCUCCUGCCGACCCAUGUCCGGCCGGCCCCUACGAGCAUCUCCCACGGGGAAAUUUGCACCGCGCAUGUUCAGAGAAAUCCCUGUUUGGCUGAAAAGGGUAAUGAAACCUAAAGCACGUUACUCUGGAAGCGGUUACCUCAGAUGAUACCCCAGGCCUCGGAAUUGCAUGGCAUCUUGAAUCGGGGAGUCUGCAGCAGGUGUCGUCUUCCUUGUCCCACAGAAACCAAGGAUGCAGCCUUAAAGCAGAUGACUGACAUUGAGGCAUUGCCAUGACUGCUUCCUCACUUUUUAGAAUUAUCUUGGUUUGGUUCCAGUGGUGAUGGAUUCAUGACUUCACCGGAAAAGGGAAUUAUAACCUGGAUGGUUAUUGCGGCCUCUGAAGUCAUUGGCCUCUCUGGGAUUGGCCAUCUGGCAUGAGCGGUGGGCUGUCAUUGCCUCGUGAGCUAAAGAUCUUGCUGAAACACCUUUGUAGAGACCUGCAAGCUUAUUGAAAUGUAAAAGCUUGGUUCAGGAGAAAGAAGCAAAGGAAGCUAGGGAUUGUCCCAGUUCUUUACUGCCACAAGGACGGUAUUGCCAGUUAAUGUCCUUUCACUGAAAUCUGGGCUAUAUUAUUUCCUAAAAUAUACCACCUUUUCUAAAUAAAGGAUUUUUGAGAACCAA